GUGGGGAAUCUUCCGCAAUGGACGAAAGUCUGACGGAGCGACGCCGCGUGAGUGAAGAAGGCCUUCGGGUCGUAAAGCUCUGUCAUCAGGGACGAACGGCCGGUGGAGUGGAAAGCCACCGGAUUGACGGUACCUGAGAAGGAAGCCACGGCUAACUACGUGCCAGCAGCCGCGGUAAUACGUAGGUGGCAAGCGUUGUCCGGAAUUAUUGGGCGUAAAGCGCGCGCAGGUGGGAUCUUAAGUCCAUUUUUAAAGUUCGGAGCUCAACUCCGUGAUGGGAUGGAAACUGGGAUUCUUGAGUACCGGAGAGGAAAGCGGAAUUCCCCGUGUAGCGGUGAAAUGCGUAGAUAUGGGGAGGAACACCAGUGGCGAAGGCGGCUUUCUGGAUGGUGUCUGACACUGAGGCGCGAAAGCCAGGGGAGCGAACGGGAUUAGAAACCCGGGUAGUCC
rnacentral:rRNA from 1 species